GCCACCCUAGUGGACAACUCUGUAGGGAGAGCAUGAGGCUUUUAAUCUCAGGGUUGUGGGUUCGAGCCCCCCGUUUGGCA